rnacentral:rRNA from 1 species
CAGCCGCCGCGGGAAUACGUAGGUGGCAAGCGUUAUCCGGAAUUAUUGGGCGUAAAGCGCGCGUAGGCGGUUUUUUAAGUCUGAUGUGAAAGCCCACGGCUCAACCGUGGAGGGUCAUUGGAAACUGGAAAACUUGAGUGCAGAAGAGGAAAGUGGAAUUCCAUGUGUAGCGGUGAAAUGCGCAGAGAUAUGGAGGAACACCAGUGGCGAAGGCGGCUUUCUGGUCUGCAACUGACGCUGAUGUGCGAAAGCGUGGGGAUCAAACAGGAUUAGAUACCCCUGUAGUCCCUGUCUCUUAUAC